GUUUCCAUUAUUGACUUGUUUUAAUUUACCAAAUGAAAAAUUAUGUACAUGCAAACAGUUGACACAAAUCAUAUUCCCACAUAGAUUGUCACAUCAGUCCAAACACAGCAGACAUUUGUAUUCAUGAUCAGACAUCCAUAUAACAUUAAACACAAAUUAUACCAUACCAAAAAAACAACAACCCAACAACUAGUACAUAAGAAAAAUACCCCCCCCCCCC